AAUGACACAAUCAUUACAGCAGACGCACAACACAUCUUUACCAAAACUUCGGAUGGAGCAUCGCAACUAACCGUGUCAAAAUUUUCUGAAAAAGAUAAUGGGAAUUAUACAUGUAAGCUGAAGCAGACAAAUGGUUUAAUUUUCCGACAGAAAGGAUCCUUGUAUGUCCAAGACUCCAUCCAACAAGCCUUCCAGAACCUGCUUGAUGAGUCUGAGAACCUGAAUGAACAAACUCUUCCGGUAUUCUUAGCGCAGCUCAGUAAUGUUACUGUGAACAACAGUAAUGAAAUAACUGGAUCUCCUGCC